AUUUCGAUGGUGACAUGAGAAGAUUUUUGGAUGAAAAAGAGAAAAGCCUCAAUGAAGCCCUAAAUCACAUACAGGUUCUUAAGAGGGAGUUAGCAGGAAAGGAUGCAGAGAUUCGACAAAUAAA